rnacentral:rRNA from 1 species
GACGAACGCUGGCGGCGUGCUUAACACAUGCAAGUCGAACGUGAUUUUUGUGGAAAUUCUUUCGGGAAUGGACAUGAAAUGAAAGUGGCGAACGGGUGAGUAACACGUGAGCAACCUACCUUACACAGGGGGAUAGCCGUUGGAAACGACGAUUAAUACCGCAUGAGACCACAGAAUCGCAUGAUAUAGGGGUCAAAGAUUUAUCGGUGUAAGAAGGGCUCGCGUCUGAUUAGCUAGUUGGAAGGGUAAAGGCCUACCAAGGCGACGAUCAGUAGCCGGUAUGAGAGGAGGAACGGACACAGUGGAAAUGGGACACGGUCCAAACUCGUAGGGGAGGCAGCAGUGGGGAAUAUUGAAAAAUGGGGGGAACCCUGAUGCAGCGACGCCGGGUGAGAGAAGAAGGUUUUCGAAUAGUAAAGCUCUGUCCUAUGAGAAGAUAAUGACGGUAUCAUAGGAGGAAGCCCCGGCUAAAUACGUG